rnacentral:rRNA from 1 species
GGGGAAUAUUGCACAAUGGGCGCAAGCCUGAUGCAGCCAUGCCGCGUGUAUGAAGAAGGCCUUCGGGUUGUAAAGUACUUUCAGCGGGGAGGAAGGUGUUGUGGUUAAUAACCGCAGCAAUUGACGUUACCCGCAGAAGAAGCACCGGCUAACUCCGUGCCAGCAGCCGCGGUAAUACGGAGGGUGCAAGCGUUAAUCGGAAUUACUGGGCGUAAAGCGCACGCAGGCGGUCUGUCAAGUCGGAUGUGAAAUCCCCGGGCUCAACCUGGGAACUGCAUUCGAAACUGGCAGGCUAGAGUCUUGUAGAGGGGGGUAGAAUUCCAGGUGUAGCGGUGAAAUGCGUAGAGAUCUGGAGGAAUACCGGUGGCGAAGGCGGCCCCCUGGACAAAGACUGACGCUCAGGUGCGAAAGCGUGGGGAGCAAACAGG